GACGAACGCUGGCGGCGCGCCUAACACAUGCAAGUCGAACGAAGCAGAGAGCUUGCUCUCUGCUGAGUGGCGGACGGGUGAGUAACACGUGAGCAACCUGCCUAUCAGAGGGGGACAACAGUUGGAAACGACUGCUAAUACUGCAUAACGUUGACGGAAGACAUCUUCUGUCAACCAAAGAUUUAUCGCUGAUAGAUGGGCUCGCGCCCGAUUAGAUAGUUGGUGAGGUAACGGCCCACCAAGUCGACGAUCGGUAGCCGGACUGAGAGGUUGAACGGCCACAUUGGGACUGAGACACGGCCCAGACUCCUACGGGAGGCAGCAGUGGGGGAUAUUGGACAAUGGGGGAAACCCUUAUCCAGCGACGCCGCGUGAGGGAAGAAGGUUUUCGGAUUGUAAACCUCUGUCAGCGGGGACGAUAAUGACGGUACCCGCGGAGGAAGCCACGGCUAACUACGUGCCAGCCGCCGCCGUAA
rnacentral:rRNA from 1 species